UCACAAAGUAGGUCAAGUGUAUGAAUUAAUUUUUCAUAAGUUUAUUUACUAAAGUACAUUUUUUACAGUUAUUUAUGUACAUACUUGGUCUUAUUUGCAUGAGUGUACAUGACAGAUUGUUUUACUUAGAUAUACCCAGUUAUCAUUCAUAACCUAUGAUUUGUUUAAAAAAUGCUGGAAAAACUAAAAAAGUUAGCCAAUUGAAAUAAAUGCACUAAUAACUUGCUAAACAUACCUAUGGUAGUUGCUAUUUAUUAUAUAAAAAACAUAUGUCAACAUACACUCAUGCUUUUUCCUACUACUCGAGUCUCCACUCACCAGGUGUCUUUAUGAAAAUUUUUGGAUAAAAUCCUAUUUUAAAAAAGUCAACCCUAUACUUGAUACACAGAACAUAGACAUCCAGGACAUCUCCUGCAGCAAUUAGUGGGUGCAAAUACUUGCAUAGUUCAGAAGCAAUAUAAACAACAUGUGUCCAUACAGUUCCAUAGUCUAGAUCAAUAGGCAAUUCCAGCUUUUAAUUUAUGCAUGCAGAGGGUGACGGGAAGUAAGGUAUCAUAUUCCUGAUUAUGCUGAAAAUUUUUAAUAAACUGCCUAAACAACCAAAAUAUUUCAAUAUUUACAAUAGCUAUCACUCCAUGUUUACAUGGCUACCAUUUCUAUUUUUCAGCAUUAUCAGCAAUAUGAUACCAUCACCCCCUGCACACAUAGUCUAAAAGCUGGAAUUGGCUAUUGCACUUGGGUCCCUUGGAUUCAAUGGUGCUGGCCGUAUUCUUACAUUGAAUUCACUGUUUUAUCUUGUUCAUGAAGAGCAAGGUAUUAUGCCUUAAUUUUCCAAAUGAUGUCAGUAGUUUUUCUCAUGAGCAGCACCGAUGCACUUGAAUGGUACAGAGUGGGCGAUUUCUUCCUCCCCAUCACUUUCGUCUUCAUCACUUAACUUGUCAUCUCUUUAUGCCCUAUCACCUUGAUCACCUCUUUCAUUAUCAUAUACAUCUUGAACAGGUUCAAGACCAGCCAACCACUCAAGUAAAUCUCUUUCUACAAAAUCAUAACAAGGAAAUUAUUAUGUAUCAAAGAUACA